AAGAAACGUUUGUAAAGAAUUAUACAGACAGAAGCCGAGGAAUAUUUCAAAUAUAUGAAUAAUAAAAAUGGAAAUAGAGAAAAAUUAAAUAUGACAUCCUCAGGAUUAGAUGAUCUACUAAAACUCUAUGUAGAUCUGGCUAAAAUCUAUCAAGAGUGCAAUUUUACUUAUAAUCUAAAGUUUAAUGAUUUAUCUAUCUUAACUAAAAGAAACAAGAUACUGUCUAUAAUCAAGAUAAAUUCUGUACUCAUUAUUCAGGGAACAACCAGCUGUGAAAAAAUGACUUAAAUCCAUUCCACGAUUCUUAAUACUUAUAUGAAGAAGAGGCUUAACUGUAAUGUUAUAGGUAUAUUUUUAUCAAAUUUUUUAAUUUUUGUAUUAUUAUUAAAUCGUGUAUUAUUAUUAAAUCGUGAGAAAAGUAAUAUGUAGAUUA
rnacentral:lncRNA from 1 species